UACGUAGGGGGCUAGCGUUAUCCGGAAUUACUGGGCGUAAAGGGUGCGUAGGCGGUCUUUCAAGCCAGAAGUGAAAGGCUACGGCUCAACCGUAGUAAGCUUUUGGAACUGUAAGACUUGAGUGCAGGAGAGGAGAGUGGAAUUCCUAGUGUAGCGGUGAAAUGCGUAGAUAUUAGGAGGAACACCAGUGGCGAAGGCGACUUACUGGGCUGUAACUGACGCUGAGGCGCGAAAGCGUGGGGAGCGAACAGGAUUAGAUACCCGGGUAGUCCCUGAGCGGG
rnacentral:rRNA from 1 species